rnacentral:rRNA from 1 species
AUUGAACGCUGGCGGCAGGCCUAACACAUGCAAGUCGAGCGGAUGAAGGUAGCUUGCUCCUUGAUUCAGCGGCGGACGGGUGAGUAAUGCCUAGGAAUCUGCCUGGUAGUUGGGGAUAACGUCCGGACACGGGCGCUAAUACCGCAUACGUCCUGAUGGAGAAAGUGGGGGAUCUUCGGACCUCACGCUAUCAGAUGAGCCUAGGUCGGAUUAGCUAGUUGGUGGGGUAAAGGCCUACCAAGGCGACGAUCCGUAACUGGUCUGAGAGGAUGAUCAGUCACACGGGAACUGAGACACGGUACAGACUCCUACGGGAGGCAGCAGGGGGGAAUAUUGGAAAAUGGGCGAAAGCCUGAUCGAGACAUGCCGCGUGUGAAGAAGGUCUUCGGAUUGUAAAGCACUUUAAGUAGGGAGGAAGGGAAGUAAGUUAAUACCUGGAUGUUUUGACGUUACCAACAGAAUAAGCACCGGCUAACUUCGUG